UGAUGACAAAUCUCUGGACUUGCUGCAUUUGCUUGAUGAAUACGUUGAACGCAUUUUCUGAAUGCUGCUAUUUGUUAUU
ensembl:snoRNA small nucleolar RNA MBII-202